CCUACGGGUGGCAGCAGUGAGGAAUAUUGGUCAAUGGACGAGAGUCUGAACCAGCCAAGUAGCGUGAAGGAUGACUGCCCUAUGGGUUGUAAACUUCUUUUAUAUGGGAAUAAAAUGUUCCACGUGUGGGAUUUUGUAUGUACCAUAUGAAUAAGGAUCGGCUAACUCCGUGCCAGCAGCCGCGGUAAUAAGGAGGAUCCGAGCGUUAUCCGGAUUUAUUGGGUUUAAAGGGAGCGUAGGUGGAUUGUUAAGUCAGUUGUGAAAGUUUGCGGAUCAACCGUAAAAUUGCAGUUGAAACUGGCAGUCUUGAGUACAGUAGAGGUGGGCGGAAUUCGUGGUGUAGCGGUGAAAUGCUUAGAUAUCACGAAGAACUCCGAUUGCGAAGGCAGUUCACUGGACUGCAACUGACACUGAGGCUCGAAAGUGUGGGUAUCAAACAGGAUUAGAUACCCGAGUAGUC
rnacentral:rRNA from 1 species